GACGAACGCUGGCGGCGUGCUUAACACAUGCAAGUCGAACGAUGAAGAAGAGAAACGCGAACUUCGGUUCAAAUUUCACUUCGGAUUAGUGGCAGACGGGUGAGUAACGCGUGAGCAACCUACCUCUUACAAAGGGAUAGCCUCGGGAAACCGUGAUUAAUACCAUAUGACACAUUCAUAAGGCAUCUUAAGAAUGUUAAAGCUAGGGCGGUAAGAGAUGGGCUCGCGUCCCAUUAGCUAGUUGGUGAGGUAACGGCCCACCAAAGCGACGAUGGGUAACCGGGCUGAGAGAGUGAGCGGUGACAUUUGAACGAAGACACGGUCGGAACUCCUACGGGAGGCAGCAGUGGGGAAUGGUGCACAGUGGAGGGAGCUCUGAUGCAGCGACGCCGCGUGAGCGAUGAAAGAAUUCAUUACGUAAAGCGCUGUUCUAUGGGAAGAAAAUGACGGUACCAUAUGAGAAAGCCCCGGCUAAAUACGUG
rnacentral:rRNA from 1 species